CACGUAGGCGGAUCAGAAAGUCAGAGGUGAAAUCCCAGGGCUCAACCUUGGAACUGCCUUUGAAACUCCUGAUCUUGAGGUCGAGAGAGGUGAGUGGAAUUCCGAGUGUAGAGGUGAAAUUCGUAGAUAUUCGGAGGAACACCAGUGGCGAAGGCGGCUCACUGGCUCGAUACUGACGCUGAGGUGCGAAAGCGUGGGGAGCAAACA
rnacentral:rRNA from 1 species